GGAAGUAAAAGUCGUAACAAAGUCUCCGUAGGUGAACCCGCGGAGGGAUCAUUCACAAGAUUUAUCUUUUUAAACAAACCGUGAACUUUAAAUACUAUUCGUGUGAUUAUUUUUUUAAAUUUUCACACUGUCAUUCGAUCUGAACAUAAAGAUAGUUGGCUUGUUUUUUUAUUAAAACUUUCUCAGCUUGAUUCAUUGUGAAACUAAACACUUCAUAAUAAUCACCAAUAAACAUAGAAACAACUCUAUGCCCUGGAUAUCUUGGUUCUC
rnacentral:misc_RNA from 1 species